GACGAACGCUGGCGGCGUGCUUAACACAUGCAAGUCGAACGGAAAGGCCCUGCUUUUGUGGGGUGCUCGAGUGGCGAACGAGUGAGUAACACGUGAGUAACCUGCCCUUGACUUUGGGAUAACUUCAGGAAACUGGGGCUAAUACCGGAUAGGAGCUCCUGCUGCAUGGUGGGGGUUGGAAAGUUUCGGCGGUUGGGGAUGGACUCGCGGCUUAUCAGCUUGUUGGUGGGGUAGUGGCUUACCAAGGCUUUGACGGGUAGCCGGCCUGAGAGGGUGACCGGCCACAUUGGGACUGAGAUACGGCGCAGACUCCUACGGGAGGCAGCAGUGGGGAAUAUUGCACAAUGGGCGGAAGCCUGAUGCAGCAACGCCGCGUGCGGGAUGACGGCCUUCGGGUUGUAAACCGCUUUCGCCUGUGACGAAGCGUGAGUGACGGUAAUGGGUAAAGAAGCACCGGCUAACUACGUG
rnacentral:rRNA from 1 species